GGCCUAACACAUGCAAGUCGAGGGGUAGAGCUAGCUUGCUAGCUUGAGACCGGCGCACGGGUGCGUAACGCGUAUGCAACCUACCCUUUUCUGGGGGAUAGCCCGAAGAAAUUCGGAUUAAUACCGCAUAAGACCACGGAACGGCAUCGUUCAGUGGUCAAACAUUUAUGGGAGAAGGAUGGGCAUGCGUGCCAUUAGCUAGUUGGCGGGGUAACGGCCCACCAAGGCGACGAUGGCUAGGGGAUCUGAGAGGAUGGCCCCCCACACUGGUACUGAGACACGGACCAGACUCCUACGGGAGGCAGCAGUAAGGAAUAUUGGUCAAUGGAGGCAACUCUGAACCAGCCAUGCCGCGUGCAGGAAGACGGCCCUCUGGGUUGCAAACUGCUUUUAUUCGGGAAUAAACCUAGAUACGUGUAUCUAGCUGAAUGUACCGAAGGAAUAAGGAUC
rnacentral:rRNA from 1 species